AUUUAAUAUACCUAACCGUACCUAUAUACAUAUAAAAAUAUUAUAAUAAUAUAUUAUUUAUGUUUGAAUUCAUUAGAACAAUGGCGUAUCAGACGUCGCUCCCAAACCGGUCGACAUCCAUCUGCAUAACUCAUUCCGCAAGAAUGAGCGGUAUAGUUUGAAAACUUACCAAAGUUAUCUGGUGGAUGUCGAUACGUUGGUGAGCAGCCGUCGCACAUAGGUCUUAUGUACCUAUGGAAAGUUAUUAUUGGAUCGGUCAUAAUAUUACGUUGAGAAGUUAUCUGUCCAUAAACUUAUUUUCAGAUUUGUAGGCCAAUUCCGUUGCCAUUUUUUAAUCAUUCUUUGUUUUUAUUAAGGUUGAGGUGUAACAGCAUUUUAGGGGCUAUUGUAAUUCCCACUUCCAGGACUUUAUCAUACAUACAGCCGACAGCCCGAUGAUCUACAUUUUUGUGUAUUCUGGUCUACCCUAUGAUGGCCGCGAAGUAACGAUCACCUCACCGUUUAUCAGAUUGCCCAGUUUGAAAGAGUCUUCAACAAUUUCAUCGGAUAGGUACGCCAUAAACCGUGGCAUAGCGCUGGGCCAGCAUCAUUUUGUCCGGAUCAAUAUCUACAAAAAUGACGUCCCAAUUAUUAGAAGCUAAUAAUAUAGUGUCUUUGUCGAACAGUCAGCUGUACGAAGUUUCCGCUGUGCCACAAAACGGGUCGACGCCGGUCGCUGAACAUGGGAAGUCCUCAAGUCCACCAAGCAUCGUAUUGAUGAAUCAACAAUACAUCUUACAUCUUACAUCUAUCAUUGCAAUCUUAUAAUUAUUCACCUGAAUGCAUGUAAUCCUGAAUGUACAGUUAAUUUAUUACUACCCAUCUACAAAGUCAACACUGUAUUAAUAAAAGUAUUUAUUGUUAAAA